CUUAAGAACAGUAAAAGAUAAAUAAUAUAUAAUAAUAUAAUUUCCAUUCCUCACCCCAUUCCCAAUUACCAAACUGCUACUGAAUCUGUCAACAAAUUUGUGUCUUUUACACUUUCUCAACUUAACUCGCAUAAGGAAUGCAAACAUUAUUGCCUUCUAUGAAGAUUUGCAUACAUCAAAGAAGCAAACCACUUCAUACCAUUGGCCAGGCUUUGAAAUGUAAAGUUAUUUGCACAAGUUGUUUAUCUAGCAGCCAACUAUGCAUUCAAAAAAUAUGCCUUAAGAACAUGCAAAAACCUUCUUGAUUCAUUGACACAUAUAUGUUAUUAAUUUUCACUAUAGAGACCCAUUAAUAUAAAUAUUUUAUUACAUCACAUCUCCAACCAAAAGCAUUAGUGAAAAGCACCAGAGAUGCCUCUGCAAUUAACCGCAGCAGGAACCACAGGCAGGCAAUGAACUAUGGUCAAUUCCUCGAACAUUAUCUAAGCCUCGAGGUGGACCACGUGGGCCACCGCCAUAUGGCCCACUUCCAGGCCCACCUGGGCCACCAUCCCAUUUCUUUCCAGAACCAGAUCCUUUCCGGUAAGCAGUUGACUUUUCCAUCGAGAACAUUGUAGCAAAGAACACGCCUAUAAAAUUUACAAUAGCCCAGAAGAAAUCCGUUACAGUUUUCAGUCGCCAUAUCGAUCUUUUCGAUUUCACAACACCUGAACAACAAGAUGUGAACAAUAUGCUAAUGGUUGCUCAUUUAUUCUCAUAGGAAAAUAUUGUGGAAAGCUGCCACGACAUUUUGUUCCUGUUCAAGUCAUUUCUUUCCCUUGAAUUCCCACGAAAACAAAAUCAAACAUGUCUAUGUUGCUAGCACGGCAAUGCAGUUAGCCUUAGUUUAAGUUGAUAAAACUCAUUUAUUCAAUGCACCACACAAUAGUACAAUAUGUAGAGCUGCUCAUGGAUUUCAGCCUUUCAUUUUUACAAAUAAUCACAAUAGAUUUAAGCCAACAAUUACGUACAGAAUAUAAUGUGCAACAAAAAAAAGCAGAAGAGUGCUAGCAUACAGUUAGGCUGAAAAAUGAACUAUAAACUUUCCAGCAUCAGGUAUCACCAAGACAAUCACCAGAAGAAUUAAGAAUUUAGAUAUGUUGUGACAAAGGACAUGUACACAUUGAUAAUUACCAAUAAAUAUCCCUUCAUCAAGUUUAAUAUGCUACCACUUUCAAGGAACAUGUUAUCUUCUAACUUAAAUUGGAUUAUACUCAAACCAAUCUGAUAAAGAUCAGAAAUCUUCUAGCUAGAGGUGCUGAUCUAAAACUAAAAUUAUACAUACACCAAUGAAAUGUAGAAGAUCUAAAAAUGACCUUCUCAGGAAAUAAUGAGUCGCUGUGCAACAAUUAAUUUAACAAAGACCACCUCAACAACCCAGUAUGCAAGUCACUACUGGUUUAUUGCUGAUAAUUUCAUGAAAAGGGCACGGUAAAAACUAUGUAUGCACAGGCAUGUGCAUGCAAGCAAAAAAAUUCCAACAACAAUCUCUAUGGGUGAUGCUGUUGAACAAGACAAUUAGCACUGAAUUUCGAAUAGCAUUGUCCUUGUGUCAGCAUGUGCAUGUGUGUGGGAGACAGAGAAAGGAGAAGGGAUGUGGAGGAAGGGAUAGGCAGAUGAAUUAUGCUUCAAAAACAAUUUUGAAAAUGCAAUGAAUUCUUCUUAUUUUAUCAUGCUUUUACAAAGGCCCAACAUUCCUUCGUAGAACACUUGAGAGGCAAAUAAGCAGCGCAUAUAGCAGAAAGAAUAAUGGGAUAUGCUGUACCAACAAAAAGCUCAACUAAUGCAGCUACUCAGCUACAUUUCCAAUAUAGUCAGAUUCAGUUAUAUGAAUGCUUUUCCUCCACUUUGUUUGGGUUUUAGCUAGAUUUUGUUAAGGGGAUAACUUUUCAUGAUAACAGCUUAUAUGGCUUCCAAAAUUUGAAAAUGAAUGUAGAUUACACAACCAAAGAUCUCAAAACCAUAUGAAACCAUUUUCAAAACCCAGGAAAAAAAAUAGAAUAAAAAAGAAGACAAUGAAUUCAAUCAUAAGCACGAAAAGCAAAACAAAUUAAUCCAACCAAAAAAUUAUUGAAGUUAAAAAGGCAAAAGGUGAGGAAUGCAAAAUACAAAAUCACAUCCAGGUUAAGCCAUCCAAAUUGCGACAAUCACAUUAGAUAUUCAAAAUUAAGCUGGCGAUUAGCACACAAAAUUAAACCUAUUGCUUCGAUUCUUCUACUUCUAAUGAACCGUUCAAUUUGCACUGAGUCAACCUCAACGUUGACUUCCAAAAGAUGAACCCUAAUUUCCCAGAAGUAAUCAACACAAACAAAAUUCCCGUAAACCAAAGUGCACAAUUCAAUCAGUUCAUUUUAGGAAAAGAUUGAAAAUCUGGACUAGAUUAAAUCAAAAAGCAAAGAGGGG
rnacentral:misc_RNA from 1 species